rnacentral:misc_RNA from 1 species
UUUCCGUAGGUGAAGCUGCGGAAGGAUCAUUAUUGUAUAACCGAGGUGCGAGGGCUGUCGCUGACCCGAAAGGUCGUGCACGCCCGAGUGCCCUCACACACAUCCAUCUCACCCCUAUGUGCACCACCGCGUGGGUCCCCCUUUGGCUUGUUCGGAGGGGGGCUUACGCUUUCACACAAACUUUGUAUGCAGUGUAGAAUGUAUUUUUUGUUUUUGCGAUCACGCAAUCAAUACAACUUUCAACAACGGAUCUCUUGGCUCUC